GGGGUUGGCAGGUCUUUACUUUGUACUGUGAGCUCCCACUACACUUACACCUGUCAGGGUCCACUCAGGAGACAAAGCCACAUCAGCUAUGUGAACAGAGGAGAAUAUAAAGGAUUGUUAGGAAAAGGGGCACAGACGCAGCAUGUGAAAAAGGGGCAGCUGUUACCCACAGGCCCAGUGAGAAUGGAUGAGGAAAGACUAAAGUGUUAGGAGACCUUUACCGCACCCCCACCCCACACACACUUCGGGCUGAAACUCAGAUCUUUUUGAAGAGGAUGCAGCUGUCACAGAAACAUGCAGCUGCUGCUGGCAGAGUGCAUGGGUCAGAGUGGGCCACCAGGAGCUGUCUGCCAUUGCCAGAGGGUGUGGCAGGCCAGAGCCGUCCGCAGAAGCAAAAGGCCAGAUUUCCCAUUUUGGCCACGCUUCACAUGCGACACAUAUAGAAGUACACAGCAGCUUCCCCCCUUACCUGCAAGGGAUAUGUUCAGAGAUCUCCAGUGGAUGCCUGAAACUAUGGAUAGUACUGAAUCCUAUAUAUACUGUUUUUUUCUAUACAUAUAAUAAAGUUUAUAAAUUAGGUACAGUAAGAGAUUAAAAACUCAAAAUAUGAGUUAAACUCAUAUGCAAUAUAAUAUAUGCAAUAAAAUUGAAAUACUGUCAAACUCU
rnacentral:lncRNA from 10 species